GGAGGGGUGCUAGAGUGGACGAAUAGGCCGGUCUUGAAAACCGGAGUAGUGCAAGCUACCGUGGGUUCGAAUCCCACCCCCUCCGCCA
rnacentral:tRNA from 1 species